CGCGGGAUAGAGCAGCCUGGUAGCUCGUCGGGCUCAUAACCCGAAGGCCAGUGGUUCAAAUCCACUUCCCGCCACCA
rnacentral:tRNA from 1 species